GACGAACGCUGGCGGCGUGCUUAACACAUGCAAGUCGAACGGAAAGGCCCUGCUUUUGUGGGGUGCUCGAGUGGCGAACGGGUGAGUAACACGUGAGUAACCUGCCCUUGACUUUGGGAUAACUUCAGGAAACUGGGGCUAAUACCGGAUAGGAGCUCCUGCUGCAUGGUGGGGGUUGGAAAGUUUCGGCGGUUGGGGAUGGACUCGCGGCUUAUCAGCUUGUUGGUGGGGUAGUGGCUUACCAAGGCUUUGACGGGUAGCCGGCCUGAGAGGGUGACCGGCCACAUUGGGACUGCGAUACGGCCCAGACUCCUACGGGCGGCAGCAGUGGGGAACAUUGCACAAUGGGCGGAAGCCUGAUGCAGCAACGCCGCGUGCGGGAUGACGGCCUUCGGGUUGUAAACCGCUUUCGCCUGUGACGAAGCGUGAGUGACGGUAAUGGGUAAAGAAGCACCGGCUAACUACGUG
rnacentral:rRNA from 1 species